rnacentral:lncRNA from 1 species
GGAGCUAACAAAUCUUCCAAACUGUUUUAAUUUUAAACUCUACUAAAUGUUGGGAUCAAUUUCAAGGAAAAAUUCUGCAAGAUUAUUUGCCAUGAGCAGUCUUUUGUUUAGGUUAGGAGAAAUCACUUUACUCUUUUUGUCUUUGUUCUUUUCUUCACUAAAUCUGAUUAGUUCCUCCAACUCCUCCUUGUGUGAUUGCAGUAGUUGCUCUAUGUCAUCAUCCUUUGCCAAACCUUCAUCACCCAGAUGUUUUGUAACAUCCAUUAUCUCUCUAUCUUCUUGGGAGUUUGUUGGGCAAAUUCAUUCACACAUACCUUCCACAGCUUAGACCAACAGGCAAUCAGAGUUAAUUGCUUUACUUCAUCAAGCAAAUCUUUAAGGAUCAUGAUGCAGUUGGCGAUGUUGAACUGUUUUCAGUAAUCUGUGACUAUCAG